rnacentral:rRNA from 1 species
GUGAGCUCGAUGAGUAGGGCGGGACACGUGGUAUCCUGUCUGAAUAUGGGGGGACCAUCCUCCAAGGCUAAAUACUCCUGACUGACCGAUAGUGAACCAGUACCGUGAGGGAAAGGCGAAAAGAACCCCGGCGAGGGGAGUGAAAAAGAACCUGAAACCGUGUACGUACAAGCAGUGGGAGCACAGAGCAAUCUGUGUGACUGCGUACCUUUUGUAUAAUGGGUCAGCGACUUAUAUUCUGUAGCAAGGUUAACCGAAUAGGGGAGCCGAAGGGAAACCGAGUCUUAACUGGGCGUUAAGUUGCAGGGUAUAGACCCGAAACCCGGUGAUCUAGCCAUGGGCAGGUUGAAGGUUGGGUAACACUAACUGGAGGACCGAACCGACUAAUGUUGAAAAAUUAGCGGAUGACUUGUGGCUGGGGGUGAAAGGCCAAUCAAACCGGGAGAUAGCUGGUUCUCCCCGAAAGCUAUUUAGGUAGCGCCUCGUGAAUUCAUCUCCGGGGGUAGAGCACUGUUUCGGCAAGGGGGUCAUCCCGACUUACCAACCCGAUGCAAACUGCGAAUACCGGAGAAUGUUAUCACGGGAGACACACGGCGGGUGCUAACGUCCGUCGUGAAGAGGGAAACAACCCAGACCGCCAGCUAAGGUCCCAAAGUCAUGGUUAAGUGGGAAACGAUGUGGGAAGGCCCAGACAGCCAGGAUGUUGGCUUAGAAGCAGCCAUCAUUUAAAGAAAGCGUAAUAGCUCACUGGUCGAGUCGGCCUGCGCGGAAGAUGUAACGGGGCUAAACCAUG